rnacentral:rRNA from 1 species
UACGGAGGGUGCAAGCGUUAUCCGGAUUCACUGGGUUUAAAGGGUGCGUAGGCGGGCCAUUAAGUCAGUGGUGAAAGCUCCGAGCUUAACUCGGAAACUGCCAUUGAUACUAUUGGUCUUGAAUUCGGUCGAGGUUGGCGGAAUGUGUCGUGUAGCGGUGAAAUGCUUAGAUAUGACACAGAACACCGAUUGCGAAGGCAGCUAGCUAGACCGACAUUGACGCUGAGGCACGAAAGCGUGGGGAUCAAACAGG